rnacentral:rRNA from 1 species
CACGCCGUAAACGAUGAGUACUAGGUGUAGGGGGUAUCGACCCCCCCUGUGCCGCAGUAAACACAAUAAGUACUCCGCCUGGGAAGUACGAUCGCAAGAUUAAAACUCAAAGGAAUUGACGGGGGCCCGCACAAGCGGUGGAUUAUGUGGUUUAAUUCGAAGCAACGCGAAGAACCUUACCAGGACUUGACAUCCUACUAACGAGGUAGAGAUACGUCAGGUGCCCUUCGGGGAAAGUAGAGACAGGUGG